rnacentral:rRNA from 1 species
ACGAACGCUGGCGGCGUGCUUAACACAUGCCAGUCGAACGGAAAGGCCCUGCUUUUGUGGGGUGCUCGAGUGGCGAACGGGUGAGUAACACGUGAGUAACCUGCCCUUGACUUUGGGAUAACUUCAGGAAACUGGGGCUAAUACCGGAUAGGAGCUCCUGCUGCAUGGUGGGGGUUGGAAAGUUUCGGCGGUUGGGGAUGGACUCGCGGCUUAUCAGCUUGUUGGUGGGGUAGUGGCUUACCAAGGCUUUGACGGGUAGCCGGCCUGAGAGGGUGACCGGCCACAUUGGGACUGAGAUACGGCCCAGACUCCUACGGGAGGCAGCAGUGGGGAAUAUUGCACAAUGGGCGGAGGCCUGAUGCAGCAACGCCGCGUGCGGGAUGACGGCCUUCGGGUUGUAAACCGCUUUCGCCUGUGACGAAGCGUGAGUGACGGUAAUGGGUAAAGAAGCACCGGCUAACUACGUG